rnacentral:rRNA from 1 species
AAUCUUGCGCCAUGGACGAAAGUCUGACGGAGCAACGCCGUGUGAGUGAUGAAGGNUUNNGGCUCNUNAAACUUUGUUGUUAANNNNNAACACUGUAGGUAGUAACUGGCCUUGAGAUCACUGCACUUAACCAGAAAGCCGCGGCACACUACGUGACCGCAGCCGCGUUAAUACGUAGGUGGCAAGCGUUAUCCGGAAUUAUUGGGCGUAAAGCGCGCGUAGGCGGUAAAAUAAGUCUGAUGUGAAAGCCCCCGGCUCAACCGGGGAGGGUCAUUGGAAACUGUUUUACUUGAGUACAGAAGAGGAGAGUGGAAUUCCAUGUGUAGCGGUGAAAUGCGCAGAGAUAUGGAGGAACACCAGUGGCGAAGGCGGCUCUCUGGUCUGUUACUGACGCUGAGGUGCGAAAGCGUGGGGAGCAAAC